GAGUUAGAUUAUUUUCUAAUCGAAAACUAGUGGUUAGAGCGUCUGUCUCAAAAGCGGGAGGUCGUGGGUUCGAAUCCCGGCUGAGUCA